CUGGAGUCAUCACAGAGAGAAUAGGACACACAAACCCACAGCAAAACCCACACAGGCAGAGCUGAAAACUCUUCAGGAAGCUGACUUGAACUAAACCACUCGCUUAUUUUUCAUCACAUUACGUCUGGCUCUGCUGCCCCAUCACCAGAUGAACUAAACUCAGUCUCUUACACCGGGCUUAUUUGGAAGUGCUGUUUCCAUUAGUACAUGGCAUAGGAGUGAGACUGUGACCAUCUGGAAGAGGACGUCUUUAACACAAAUUUGUCCUAAGGAAAAUAUUUUCAGAGUGGAAAGGAAGCUUGUUUUACUUA
rnacentral:lncRNA from 1 species